UACAGAGGGGGCAAGCGUUAUUCGGAAUCACUGGGCGUAAAGCGCACGUAGGCGGAUUGUUAAGUCAGGGGUGAAAUCCUGGAGCUCAACUCCAGAACUGCCUUUGAUACUGACGAUCUCGAGUCCGGGAGAGGUGAGUGGAACUGCGAGUGUAGAGGUGAAAUUCGUAGAUAUUCGCAAGAACACCAGUGGCGAAGGCGGCUCACUGGCCCGAUACUGACGCUGAGGUGCGAAAGCGUGGGGAGCAAACAGG
rnacentral:rRNA from 1 species